AUGUGGGAUCGAGUGAGAAGCACACGUGCCAAUCAGAUGGUCAAGAUUAAGGUUGAGGAACUGCGAGAUAUCUCAACUAGCAUUGUCUUUGGGGAUGGGGACAACUCGGAUUCUUUGACAGUGCCAGUGGUAAUUCUCCAGCACCACAUUCUUGGAGAAGAACCACAUGAUGAAGAUCCAGUUGACCCCCAUGGAAAUCCUCACCCCAUCCCUAACCAGGUCAACUUUCACCCAAAUCAACACAACCACUUUGUUGGCCCUAUUCAGCAGCAUGAACAUGAAGAGGUCCAAGCCAUGGUCAAUCAACAGCAAGCACCACGCUUAGAUCUGAAUAUGAUGCUUAAUCAAGCUGAGAAUGAUGCACUGGAGAUAGAAGAAGAACAAGAGAUGCCAGGGUGGGGUCAUUGGGCUAUACCAGAUGCUAAUCCUAACAUUGAUCUGGAAAACCAUUAG
rnacentral:rRNA from 1 species